rnacentral:rRNA from 1 species
UGGGGAAUCUUGCACAAUGGGGGAAACCCUGAUGCAGCGACGCCGCGUGAGCGAUGAAGCCCUUCGGGGCGUAAAGCUCUUUCGGCAGGGAAGACUUUGACGGUACCUGCAGAAGCAGCUGCGGCUAACUACGUGCCAGCAGCCGCGGUAAUACGUAGGCAGCAAGCGUUGUUCGGAGUUACUGGGCGUAAAGGGUGCGUAGGCGGUUUUCUAAGUCUGGUGUGAAAUCUCCCGGCUCAACUGGGAGGGUGCGCUAGAAACUGGGAGGCUAGAGUGUGGGAGAGGAGAGUGGAAUUCCUGGUGUAGCGGUGAAAUGCGUAGAUAUCAGGAGGAACACCGGUGGUGUAGACGGCUCUCUGGACCAUUACUGACGCUGAGGCACGAAAGCGUGGGUAGCAAACAGGAUUAGAUACCCUGGUAGUCCACGCCCUAAACGAUGCACACUUGGUGUGGGCCAUUCAUUUGGUCUGUGCCGGAGCUAACGUCG